rnacentral:lncRNA from 1 species
GUAAGUGAGUAAUAAGGUCCGUAACUGUUGUUCGUAGAUCUGAUCGACUGCGUGCAGGAGAAUAACGGGUGCUUGGGCGGCACGAUAGAGGAAGGCUUGGAAUACUUGAAGAAGUACGGUGUGACCUUGGAAGAAAACUACCCUUUCACCGCGGAGGAAGGAGAAUGCGAUUUAGACUCUCGACCAUACUUGAAGAUUACCGACUAUCGCACCCUGAGUCAGCGCGGUGACCCGGACAGGGGUAUACCCGAAAUUUGGGCGCAGGACUUCCAAAUGGAAGCAGCUUUGGAGGAGGGUCCCCUACCAGUUGGAUACCCUCAAUCCCCCUCAAUCCUUCAAUACUAUGUGCGGGGAAUUUUUGCUCCACCUGCUUGGGUGCAUGAUACGACUACUGGCCACGCUGUUGUGAUUGUCGGCCACUAUGCACGACGCCCCCUCGAUUGUUGGAUCCUCCGGAAUAGCUGGGGCCCUGACUGGGGUAUGGAGGGACAUUUUCUGGUCCUAAAAAGAACAAUGGGCAUCGGCUGGAACGUAAAUAAAAUAGUCGGACCGUUGGUACAGCAAUUCUGGAGUGAGCCAGGUUCUGAGGACCCAUCCACCCCCUCUGAUGAUGGAGCCGGCCCCUCUUAUCAAAAUUAUCAGUACGGAUACGACCUCCCCGAUAUGUCACGAUUGAAUAUACACGAUGAUAAUUAUUAUCCUCAAGAUUAUCAUAAUUAUUAUCAUCAUUAAUAAUCUCCAAAGCCAUCUUAGUGAUGGCCAUUUUUGAAUGAUCUUAUUUAUAUAAUUUUUUACUGAAUAAAGUUUCUACCAUUUCUCGAGAGGAAAAAAUUUCAUACUAUGUUUUGUUUCCGUGCAUAUCUAAUAUAAGUCCUAGAAUCGGUGAAUUCUGAAUUUUUGUUUGCGGCAACCAAUCGAUGCUGGCCAAAUCAGUUAUUGAAGACGAACUUAUUUGCUUGCCAAAUAAUCAGUGGAUCAGUGGUUUAUUAAACAUCUAGUUGGAUAUUGAUAGUGCUGCUAAUCCUUUGAUUCACUUAUUUUGUAAUCUUUAGUAUUUUUCUUUUUGGUAUUUUCACUAAACUUCUGCAAUGUAGUGCUUAGUAGUUUUAAUUUGUUUGUGCUUGUUUCGUUUUUUGUUUAUACAUUUUCGCCCUGAAGAUGAACCCUGGUGGUUUGAAAAUCUUCGGCAUGAAUUAAUACCUCAAAUAAACAUGGUUAAAAUGUAUAGCAUAUUGGUUCUCUUUUUCAAUCCUUACAUUUAGUUGUGCUACUCAAACCAUAAUGUUAAAUCAGUGGAUGUUUGGAUUGACAAAAUUUGUCUCUUUCCCCAGGACCUAG